GAGUUUGAUCCUGGCUCAGAGCGAACGCUGGCGGCAGGCUUAACACAUGCAAGUCGAGCGCCCCGCAAGGGGAGCGGCAGACGGGUGAGUAACGCGUGGGAACGUGCCCUUUAGUUCGGAAUAACUCAGGGAAACUUGAGCUAAUACCGGAUAAGCCCUUCGGGGAAAGAUUUAUCGCUGAAGGAUCGGCCCGCGUAAGAUUAGCUAGUUGGUGAGGUAAUGGCUCACCAAGGCUAUGAUCUUUAGCUGUUCUGAGAGGAAGAUCAGCCACACUGGGACUGAGACACGGCCCAGACCUCCUACGGGAGGCAGCAGUGGGGAAUAUUGGACAAUGGGCGCAAGCCUGAUCCAGCCAUGCCGCGUGAGUGAUGAAGGCCUUAGGGUUGU
rnacentral:rRNA from 1 species